UAUCAACAAUGCAUGUGUCCCCACAACACAAAGCCCUCUCUCUCUCCCUCCUCGUCGACAUUCUUUUGUCUCGAAGCUUAUCCUCUGCGUCUGGCACACCUCCUCAUUUACUGGCUCAUGAUGGUUUUGUCAGGCGGAGAGUUCGACAUUACAUUGGAAGUACGAAGAGAUGGGAGAUGAAAUGGGGCUGCUUGGUACAAUGGUGGGAUCUCUGGCUGACAAAUGGUGGGAAAUGAAAUCAGUGUUCAUUGUGAAGUUUUUGCAGAGGGGGCUUUGAUCAACAAUGGCUGACACCGUCUCUUUCUUGCGAGUAUCCUGGGAAGGCGGUUAAUGGUGAUAGCUGACGAACCAAGCACCUCGCUCUUCUUCCACCCAUUCGCCAUAUUCUCGACCCUCUCAUCUUACGAUAAAUCUUAAAGGUUCUUGCAGAGUCUGGUGCUGGGUCACAGCUCAAAGGAAAGGGGCUCGGAAGACGAGCCACUUCACAUUUGAUGAAGUGAUGGUGGCAAAAGGCAUUUUGCGGCUCUGUUAACUCGUUUACGGAAUCAAAUCUUGAAAAUGUGGGCAUAUUAAGAUCGGAUAAAGCAUCUGUUAACUAUCCAGUCACUGGACAGCAGCCAUUGACGAUGAUCCAGCAAGCUUUUGUUCUCUCCCGAAUGAUCAGAAGACUGGACAACCUUUGACGAUAACCCCUUUCGCGGUGGGACAAGACGCAAAGGGACACAUGUCACGUUCGCC